rnacentral:rRNA from 1 species
AGGUAAGCUACUAAGAGCGAAUGGUGGAUGCCUUGACUGGUAAAGGCGAUGAAGGACGUACUAGACUGCGAUAAGCUACGGGGAGCUGUCAAGAAGCUUUGAUCCGUAGAUUUCCGAAUGGGGCAACCCAAUGUAUAGAGAUAUACAUUACCUAUAUAGGAGCGAACGAGGGGAAUUGAAACAUCUUAGUACCCUCAGGAAAAGAAAUCAAUAGAGAUUGCGUCAGUAGCGGCGAGCGAAAGCGCAAGAGGGCAAACCCAGUGCUUGCACUGGGGGUUGUAGGACUGCAAUGUGCAAGAGCUGAGUUUAGCAGAACAUUCUGGAAAGUAUAGCCAUAGAGGGUGAUAGUCCCGUAUGCGAAAAACAAAGCUUAGCUAGCAGUAUCCUGAGUAGGGCGGGACACGAGGAAUCCUGUCUGAAUCCGGGUCGACCACGAUCCAACCCUAAAUACUAAUACCAGAUCGAUAGUGCACAAGUACCGUGAGGGAAAGGUGAAAAGAACUGAGGUGAUCAGAGUGAAAUAGAACCUGAAACCAUUUGCUUACAAUCAUUCAGAGCCCUAUGUAGCAAUACAGGGUGAUGGACUGCCUUUUGCAUAAUGAGCCUGCGAGUUGUGGUGUCUGGCAAGGUUAAGCAAACGCGAAGCCGUAGCGAAAGCGAGUCUGAAUAGGGCGCUUAGUCAGAUGCUGCAGACCCGAAACGAAGUGAUCUAUCCAUGAGCAAGUUGAAGCUAGUGUAAGAACUAGUGGAGGACUGAACCCAUAGGCGUUGAAAAGCCCCGGGAUGACUUGUGGAUAGGGGUGAAAGGCCAAUCAAACUUCGUGAUAGCUGGUUCUCUCCGAAAUAUAUUUAGGUAUAGCGUUGUGUCGUAAUAUAAGGGGGUAGAGCACUGAAUGGGCUAGGGCAUACACCAAUGUACCAAACCCUAUCAAACUCCGAAUACCUUAUAUGUAAUCACAGCAGUCAGGCGGCGAGUGAUAAAAUCCGUCGUCAAGAGGGAAACAACCCAGACUACCAGCUAAGGUCCCUAAAUCUUACUUAAGUGGAAAACGAUGUGAAGUUACUUAAACAACCAGGAGGUUGGCUUAGAAGCAGCCAUCCUUUAAAGAAAGCGUAAUAGCUCACUGGUCUAGUGAUUUUGCGCGGAAAAUAUAACGGGGCUAAAGUAAGUACCGAAGCUGUAGACUUGCACACAACUUAGAUUAUUUAAGUUUAGAAUAUGAGAAACUAAGUUAUAUGUUUAGUUAUAUUUUUACUGAUUUUUAUAGAGUAAAGAUAGAAAUAAAACUUAGUAAAAUCAGUAAAAAUAUUCUUAGACUAAAGUUAAGUAGUUUAAGUUGUGUGCAAGUGGUAGGAGAGCGUUCUAUUUGCGUCGAAGGUAUACCGGUAAGGAGUGCUGGAGCGAAUAGAAGUGAGCAUGCAGGCAUGAGUAGCGAUAAUUAAUGUGAGAAUCAUUAACGCCGUAAACCCAAGGUUUCCUACGCGAUGCUCGUCAUCGUAGGGUUAGUCGGGUCCUAAGUCGAGUCCGAAAGGGGUAGACGAUGGCAAAUUGGUUAAUAUUCCAAUACCAACAUUAGUGUGCGAUGGAAGGACGCUUAGGGCUAAGGGGGCUAGCGGAUGGAAGUGCUAGUCUAAGGUCGUAGGAGGUUAUACAGGCAAAUCCGUAUAACAAUACUCCGAGAACUGAAAGGCUUUUUGAAGUCUUCGGAUGGAUAGAAGAACCCCUGAUGCCGUCGAGCCAAGAAAAGUUUCUAAGUUUAGCUAAUGUUGCCCGUACCGUAAACCGACACAGGUGGGUGGGAUGAGUAUUCUAAGGCGCGUGGAAGAACUCUCUUUAAGGAACUCUGCAAAAUAGCACCGUAUCUUCGGUAUAAGGUGUGGUUAGCUUUGUAUUAGGAUUUACUCCGAAAGCAAGGAAACUUACAACAAAGAGUCCCUCCCGACUGUUUACCAAAAACACAGCACUCUGCUAACUCGUAAGAGGAUGUAUAGGGUGUGACGCCUGCCCGGUGCUCGAAGGUUAAUUGAUGGGGUUAGCAUUAGCGAAGCUCUUGAUCGAAGCCCGAGUAAACGGCGGCCGUAACUAUAACGGUCCUAAGGUAGCGAAAUUCCUUGUCGGUUAAAUACCGACCUGCAUGAAUGGCGUAACGAGAUGGGAGCUGUCUCAAAGAGGGAUCCAGUGAAAUUGUAGUGGAGGUGAAAAUUCCUCCUACCCGCGGCAAGACGGAAAGACCCCGUGGACCUUUACUACAGCUUGACACUGCUACUUGGAUAAGAAUGUGCAGGAUAGGUGGGAGGCUUUGAGUAUAUGACGCCAGUUGUAUAUGAGCCAUUGUUGAGAUACCACUCUUUCUUAUUUGGGUAGCUAACCAGCUUGAGUUAUCCUCAAGUGGGACAAUGUCUGGUGGGUAGUUUGACUGGGGCGGUCGCCUCCCAAAUAAUAACGGAGGCUUACAAAGGUUGGCUCAGAACGGUUGGAAAUCGUUCGUAGAGUAUAAAGGUAUAAGCCAGCUUAACUGCAAGACAUACAAGUCAAGCAGAGACGAAAGUCGGUCUUAGUGAUCCGGUGGUUCUGUGUGGAAGGGCCAUCGCUCAAAGGAUAAAAGGUACCCCGGGGAUAACAGGCUGAUCUCCCCCAAGAGCUCACAUCGACGGGGAGGUUUGGCACCUCGAUGUCGGCUCAUCGCAUCCUGGGGCUGGAGCAGGUCCCAAGGGUAUGGCUGUUCGCCAUUUAAAGCGGUACGCGAGCUGGGUUCAGAACGUCGUGAGACAGUUCGGUCCCUAUCUGCCGUGGGCGUAAGAAGAUUGAAGAGAUUUGACCCUAGUACGAGAGGACCGGGUUGAACAAACCACUGGUGUAGCUGUUGUUCUGCCAAGAGCAUCGCAGCGUAGCUAAGUUUGGAAAGGAUAAACGCUGAAAGCAUCUAAGCGUGAAGCCAACUCUAAGAUGAAUCUUCUCUAAGCUCUCUAGAAGACUACUAGUUUGAUAGGCUGGGUGUGUAAUGGAUGAAAGUCCUUUAGCUGACCAGUACUAAUAGAGCGUUUGGCUUAUCUUU